rnacentral:rRNA from 1 species
UACGAAGGGGGCUAGCGUUGUUCGGAUUUACUGGGCGUAAAGCGCACGUAGGCGGAUCGUUAAGUCGGGGGUGAAAUCCUGGAGCUCAACUCCAGAACUGCCUUCGAUACUGGCGCUCUUGAGUCCGGAAGAGGUGAGUGGAACUCCUAGUGUAGAGGUGGAAUUCGUAGAUAUUCGGAAGAACACCAGUGGCGAAGGCGACAUACUGGGUCAUGACUGACGCUGAGGCUCGAAAGCGUGGGGAGCAAACAGG